GACGAACGCUGGCGGCGUGCCUAAUACAUGCAAGUAGAACGCUGAAGAGAGGAGCUUGCUCUUCUUGGAUGAGUUGCGAACGGGUGAGUAACGCGUAGGUAACCUGCCUUGUAGCGGGGGAUAACUAUUGGAAACGAUAGCUAAUACCGCAUAACAAUGGAUGACACAUGUCAUUUAUUUGAAAGGGGCAAUUGCUCCACUACAAGAUGGACCUGCGUUGUAUUAGCUAGUAGGUGAGGUAAUGGCUCACCUAGGCGACGAUACAUAGCCGACCUGAGAGGGUGAUCGGCCACACUGGGACUGAGACACGGCCCAGACUCCUACGGGAGGCAGCAGUAGGGAAUCUUCGGCAAUGGGGGCAACCCUGACCGAGCAACGCCGCGUGAGUGAAGAAGGUUUUCGGAUCGUAAAGCUCUGUUGUAAGUCAAGAACGGGUGUGAGAGUGGAAAGUUCACACUGUGACGGUAGCUUACCAGAAAGGGACGGCUAACUACGUGCCAGCAGCCGCGGUAAUACGUAGGUCCCGAGCGUUGUCCGGAUUUAUUGGGCGUAAAGCGAGCGCAGGCGGUUUGAUAAGUCUGAAGUUAAAGGCUGUGGCUCAACCAUAGUUCGCUUUGGAAACUGUCAAACUUGAGUGCAGAAGGGGAGAGUGGAAUUCCAUGUGUAGCGGUGAAAUGCGUAGAUAUAUGGAGGAACACCGGUGGCGAAAGCGGCUCUCUGGUCUGUAACUGACGCUGAGGCUCGAAAGCGUGGGGAGCGAACAGGAUUAGAUACCCUGGUAGUCCACGCCGUAAACGAUGAGUGCUAGGUGUUGGAUCCUUUCCGGGAUUCAGUGCCGCAGCUAACGCAUUAAGCACUCCGCCUGGGGAGUACGACCGCAAGGUUGAAACUCAAAGGAAUUGACGGGGGCCCGCACAAGCGGUGGAGCAUGUGGUUUAAUUCGAAGCAACGCGAAGAACCUUACCAGGUCUUGACAUCCCGAUGCUAUUUCUAGAGAUAGAAAGUUACUUCGGUACAUCGGUGACAGGUGGUGCAUGGUUGUCGUCAGCUCGUGUCGUGAGAUGUUGGGUUAAGUCCCGCAACGAGCGCAACCCCUAUUGUUAGUUGCCAUCAUUCAGUUGGGCACUCUAGCGAGACUGCCGGUAAUAAACCGGAGGAAGGUGGGGAUGACGUCAAAUCAUCAUGCCCCUUAUGACCUGGGCUACACACGUGCUACAAUGGUUGGUACAACGAGUUGCGAGUCGGUGACGGCGAGCUAAUCUCUUAAAGCCAAUCUCAGUUCGGAUUGUAGGCUGCAACUCGCCUACAUGAAGUCGGAAUCGCUAGUAAUCGCGGAUCAGCACGCCGCGGUGAAUACGUUCCCGGGCCUUGUACACACCGCCCGUCACACCACGAGAGUUUGUAACACCCGAAGUCGGUGAGGUAACCUUUUGGAGCCAGCCGCCUAAGGUGGGACAGAUGAUUGGGGUGAA
rnacentral:rRNA from 1 species